GGACCGGACCGGUACGUACCGGCCCGUACCGGCCGGUACGGGCCGGUACGGCAUUCCAUGGUUGGACCCUAUGCUGCAGCAAAAGUCCGAACCUUUUGGGCAAUGAUGACAGCAUCCUUACUCAUUCCGGUGAUAGCCUUCAAAUAAACUAUUACAACUCAUGGUCAUCUCAUCUUAUAGGGGCUAGAUUCGUGAUUUUCUGUGGAAAUUGUCUUCGAUAAAUCCUAACCAUUGAUGUCUCUUUAGCAAGCAUAUUUGAUUGGUGGAACAGCAUGCUCAAGUCGAAAAACUGUUCGAUUGCAGUAUUUCUUGAAGUUUGUAAGUAUAUUUUGAUUUAUUUGCCAACAAUUUGUCAGAGUAUUACUUUUAUUGCUUAAGGCUGUGAUUUCUUGAAUCAGAUUAACUUUUUGGUCUGUUAUUGACGUUGAACAAGCAUCAAUAGUGCUGGACACCAAUUUUUAGACUAGUAUACUAGAUUAAAUUAUCCAUUUGUUGCUGACCUGUUCUGACCAAAUCUUGAUUUGAAAGCAUUGGUAGGUUGUGAGUUGAGAGGGUACCCUCUGAGUCAUAUUCGGAUUUGCAGUAAACCUUAUUUAUUUAUUGCAGUAGACCUGUUUAUCUAAUGCCGCAGAUUAUGUUAACUUUUCAUGUAAGACAUAAGGUUCAAAAUGGUACUUAUAAUGGUUCCAAGAAUUAGGAGCAUGGGCGGGCAUACAAUGUGAUGGAUAAUCGCCUUCUCAAAGAGCUGGUUCUUAUAUGUUGGUAAACAAGGCUCAGCCUUCCACCUCUCCUUUCUCCUAGCUUUCUACUUGAGAGAGGAGGUGAGCAUCUAUAGUGAUUUCUCAGUUACCUUUCAAGCAUUGUUCCUUCUCCUUUUCUUCUUCGCUUUUUUGUGUACGGAUUUAUUUUUGUAUGAAUAUUCAUGCAACAAGGGUGACUUCUAAAAAUUGUUCUUCUCUUCUUUGCAUGCCAUCUUCUCUAGCAAUAGGCGAGACAUAUGUGGAAGGUCUGCUACAUUGCUGGCACCUGAGCUGCAUUCAUUGUAAGUUGGAGAGGUCAUCACCAUCGGAGAAGAGGCGCGGGGAUCUUCUCCUCUUUUUUGUGUGCAUGUAUAUUAAUGAGAUGAUGGGCAAGUUGUGAAAUUACUCUUCUUCUCUUCUUUGCGUGUCAGCUUCUCUAGCAAUAGGCGAGGAACUUCUGGAAGUGAAUUCAUAGGAUUUGGAGGCUCAUGAUAGUUUCAAGAUAAAGAUGGUAUCGAUAAAGGGGCUUGAUUCGUGAUUUUCUGUGGAAGCUGUCCUCGAUAAAUCCUAACCAUUGAUGUCUCUUUAGCAAGCAUAUCUGAUUGGUGGAACAGCGUGCUCAGGCGAGGCAUUUUUGGAAGGUCUACUACACUGCUGACAACCAAUCUGCAUUCAUUCUUCUCUAGCAAUUGGCGGGGAACAUCUGGAAGUGGCGAAUUUGAGCCUCUUUUUCCUUUUCCCAUUUUGCCUUCUAAUUUCUUGUUUUUUGAAGAUUAUAUUUUUUUUAAGGCAUCUUUAAUUACAAAACUGUAAUUAAAUUUCUUCUGAUGUGUUUUUUCUGCUGUUCCUGAAGAAUUCAUAUGAUUUGGAGGCUGAUGAUAGUUUCGAGAUAAAGAUGGUAUCAAUAAAGGUAUCUGCCCUUGCUUAUACUUUUGUAGAAUGGGAGGCACCAUCAACUGACUGCUUUUGCCUCCAUAAUAUUGUGUAAUAAUUGUAAAGUAACUGGUUGACAUGAAAUGGCGACCAGUGUUGGUCAGACUUA